CUCUCUCUCUCUCUCUCUCCCUUGUGUAUUUUAAUUUCUCUUUACAAGUUAAAAGGAAGUUGUAUGUGCUUGAUAUUGUAUUUUAUUGAUUAAAUUAUCAAAUAAGGAUUUAACCAUGUUAUGUUUUACAUGUUUGUUAUUAUCCAGUAUGUGAUGAUUGUCUUGAAGGGAUCAGUUCCCAUAGCUUUUGGUGGAACUGAGCAGCCAGCAGCUUAUGGUGAGUUGGUGUCCAUUGGUGGCCUUAGCCCUGACGUUAACAAGAAGCUGAGCGCUGCAAUUGCAACAAUCCUUGAGACGAAGUUGUCAGUGCCCAAGUCACGAUUCUUCCUCAAGUUUUAUGACACCAAGGCAAGCCAUCUCAACCUGUAAUUAUCAACAAGAUGGGUCAUUGCCAUGCACACGUUUCUUCUCAUUGAACUCUUUCUGUUGUUUAGGCCCAUCCAAGCCAAGAAUAUGCACAGUGUUUGCAUGCUUUACACCAGCACUAGAUCAUGUAAAUAAAUCUUUACUGUUUUGAAAGUGUGUGUAGUUGUCAACUUUUCUUUAGGAUCAAAAGUUUGUUUAUUGUCCAUUAAUGUUCAUAUUAGCUGCCAUCUGUGGUACUUGCUUCCUCUUACUAGGUACUAAUGGUUUUUUCUAUUUUUUUUAACAGGGUUCCAACUUUGGAUGGAACGGUUCCACAUUCUAAGUCCAGCAACUUGUCUUUGUUGCACACAAGCUCAAUGACAUGCAUUUAGACAGCAAUAUCUCCAUGGUGAUUUGGUAUCACAAGGACUUGGCUGUGGUAGUAUAUUACAUUCUUUUAUUUCUCCUUAGACAUGUGAUAUUUGGAAUACUAGAUGGUUCAACUUUAUGUUUCUUUUGGGGCAAAAGAACCACCUUUAUCUACACUUGGCAAUAGCUAAUACUGUUAUAGUACUCAUAAUGUAUCAUUUAGAUUCGCAAGUGAAUUGGCUCUGUUCUCAAGCUAUUCUUUUUGAAUAACUGUUGUAUUGCUUUAUGAGAACUUGGUUGGACCUAAUAUGAACUGGCUAGGUUUGUAGAAUUCUUUAACAUUUUCCAGAGUCCAUAGCAGUUUGUCUAAGAGGGAGGAAAGUUGAGUCGUAGUCAAAUCAACCACAAACCACACCCAACCCAAAAAAAAAA
rnacentral:misc_RNA from 1 species